AUUGAACGCUGGCGGCAGGCUUAACACAUGCAAGUCGAGCGGGGGAAGGUAGCUUGCUACUGGACCUAGCGGCGGACGGGUGAGUAAUGCUUAGGAAUCUGCCUAUUAGUGGGGGACAACAUCUCGAAAGGGAUGCUAAUACCGCAUACGUCCUACGGGAGAAAGCAGGGGAUCUUCGUACCUUGCGCUAAUAGAUGAGCCUAAGUCGGAUUAGCUAGUUGGCGGGGUAAAGGCCUACCAAGGCGACGAUCUGUAGCGGGUCUGAGAGGACGAACCGCCACACUGGGACUGAGACACGGCCCAGACUCCUACGGGAGGCAGCAGUGGGGAAUAUUGGACAAUGGGGGGAACCCUGAUCCAGCCAUGCCGCGUGUGUGAAGAAGGCCUUAUGGUUGUAAAGCACUUUAAGCAAGGAGGAGGCUACUCUAGUUAAUACCUAGGGAUAGUGGACGUUACUCGCAGAAUAAGCACCGGCUAACUCUGUGCCAGCCGCCGCCGUAA
rnacentral:rRNA from 1 species